GGGAAGGUGGCUCAGUGGUAGAGUGCUUGCCUUGCAUGCAUGAGGCCCUGGGUUUGAUUCCUCAGCAUCCACA
rnacentral:tRNA from 1 species